UACGAAGGGGGCUAGCGUUGUUCGGAAUUACUGGGCGUAAAGCGCGUGUAGGCGGGUCUUUAAGUCAGGGGUGAAAUGCCAAGGCUCAACCUUGGGAUGCCGGUCGAUACUGCCGGACUAGAGUUCGGAAGAGGCGAGUGGAAUUCCCGGUGUAGCGGUGAAAUGCGCAGAUAUCGGGAGGAACACCUAUGGCGAAGGCAGCUCGCUGGGACGUGACUGACGCUGAGACGCGAAAGCGUGGGGAGCAAACAGG
rnacentral:rRNA from 1 species